AGUGGUAUAGCUCAGUGGUAGAGCUGCAUGCUUAGCAUACACGAGGUUCUGGGUUCAAGCCUCAGUACCUCCA
rnacentral:tRNA from 1 species